GUGCUUGCUUUGGCAACAUAUAUGAUAAAAUUGGUACAAUACAAAGAAGAUUAGCCAGGGUGACACACAAACUUAUGAAGUGUUCCAUAUGUUC
rnacentral:snRNA from 1 species